AUUGAACGCUGGCGGCAGGCCUAACACAUGCAAGUCGAGCGAGCGGCGGACGGGUGAGUAAUGUCUGGGAAACUGCCUGAUGGAGGGGGAUAACUACUGGAAACGGUAGCUAAUACCGCAUACCAUCAGAUGUGCCCAGAAGGGAUUAGCUAGUAGGUGGGGUAACGGCUCACUAAGGCGACGAUCCCUAUCUGGUCUGAGAGGAUGACCAGACACAAUGGAACAGGGACACGGUCCAGACGCCGACGGGAUGCACCAGUGGGAAAUAAUGCACAAAGGGCGAAAGCCUGUUGAAGCAAUGCCGCGUGUGGGAAGAAGGCCUUCGGGUUGUAAAGCACAUUCAGCGGGGAGGCGUUACCCGCAGAAGGAGCACCGGCUAACUCCGUGACAGCAGCCGCGGUAAUUC
rnacentral:rRNA from 1 species